rnacentral:rRNA from 1 species
GACGAACCGUGCAAACGUUGUUCGGAAUCACUGGGCUUAAAGGGCGCGUAGGCGGGUCACCCAGUCCGUGGUGAAAUACUCCAGCUUAACUGGAGCAGUGCCGUGGAUACUGGUGAUCUCGAGGGAGGUAGGGGCAUGUGGAACUCCAGGUGGAGCGGUGAAAUGCGUAGAUAUCUGGAGGAACGCCGGUGGCGAAAGCGACGUGCUGGACCUCUUCUGACGCUGAGGCGCGAAAGCUAGGGGAGCAAACGGG